rnacentral:rRNA from 1 species
GCUCCGGAUGUUAGCGGCGGACGGGUGAGUAACACGUGGGUAACCUGCCUGUAAGACUGGGAUAACUCCGGGAAACCGGAGCUAAUACCGGAUAGUUCCUUGAACCGCAUGGUUCAAGGAUGAAAGACGGUUUCGGCUGUCACUUACAGAUGGACCCGCGGCGCAUUAGCUAGUUGGUGGGGUAAUGGCUCACCAAGGCGACGAUGCGUAGCCGACCUGAGAGGGUGAUCGGCCACACUGGGACUGAGACACGGCCCAGACUCCUACGGGAGGCAGCAGUAGGGAAUCUUCCGCAAUGGACGAAAGUCUGACGGAGCAACGCCGCGUGAGUGAUGAAGGUUUUCGGAUCGUAAAGCUCUGUUGUUAGGGAAGAACAAGUGCGAGAGUAACUGCUCGCACCUUGACGGUACCUAACCAGAAAGCCACGGCUAACUACGUGCCAGCAGCCGCGGUAAUACGUAGGUGGCAAGCGUUGUCCGGAAUUAUUGGGCGUAAAGGGCUCGCAGGCGGUUUCUUAAGUCUGAUGUGAAAGCCCCCGGCUCAACCGGGGAGGGUCAUUGGAAACUGGGAAACUUGAGUGCAGAAGAGGAGAGUGGAAUUCCACGUGUAGCGGUGAAAUGCGUAGAGAUGUGGAGGAACACCAGUGGCGAAGGCGACUCUCUGGUCUGUAACUGACGCUGAGGAGCGAAAGCGUGGGGAGCGAACAGGAUUAGAUACCCUGGUAGUCCACGCCGUAAACGAUGAGUGCUAAGUGUUAGGGGGUUUCCGCCCCUUAGUGCUGCAGCUAACGCAUUAAGCACUCCGCCUGGGGAGUACGGUCGCAAGACUGAAACUCAAAGGAAUUGACGGGGGCCCGCACAAGCGGUGGAGCAUGUGGUUUAAUUCGAAGCAACGCGAAGAACCUUACCAGGUCUUGACAUCCUCUGACAACCCUAGAGAUAGGGCUUUCCCUUCGGGGACAGAGUGACAGGUGGUGCAUGGUUGUCGUCAGCUCGUGUCGUGAGAUGUUGGGUUAAGUCCCGCAACGAGCGCAACCCUUGAUCUUAGUUGCCAGCAUUCAGUUGGGCACUCUAAGGUGACUGCCGGUGACAAACCGGAGGAAGGUGGGGAUGACGUCAAAUCAUCAUGCCCCUUAUGACCUGGGCUACACACGUGCUACAAUGGACAGAACAAAGGGCUGCAAGACCGCAAGGUUUAGCCAAUCCCAUAAAUCUGUUCUCAGUUCGGAUCGCAGUC